UACGAGGGGAGCUAGCGUUGUUCGGAAUUACUGGGCGUAAAGGGCGCGUAGGCGGUUCUAUAAGUCAGAUGUGAAAGCCCCGGGCUUAACCUGGGAGGUGCAUUUGAAACUGUAGGGCUUGAGAUCGAGAGAGGAAAGUGGAAUUACGAGUGUAGAGGUGAAAUGCGUAGAGAUUCGUAAGAACACCCGUGGCGAAGGCGACUAUCUGGCUCGAUACUGACGCUAAGGCUCGAAAGCGUGGGGAGCAAACAGG
rnacentral:rRNA from 1 species